rnacentral:pre_miRNA from 1 species
UGAACCAUGCUGGAGAAGCAGGGCACAUGCUUGAUGACUUACCAAAAUUCUUAGCAUGUGUUCUUGUUCUCCAUCAUGGAUUC